GGGAAAAGUGUGAAAAUUCAAGGAAACAAGUGAAAAAAAGGUGGUGAAUCCUCUGAAAAAGGGCAAAGAAAUUGCACCCGAUGAUCAAUAGUCGGAGUACUCCAAAAUUCAAACUCCUGAUACAGCUCAAGAUAGUCGGUAGAUAGCUCACUUUGUUGAGGGCUACAUUUGGACUUGCAUCCUCAAAAAUUGUAAGUUUACCGUUUUUGAUACUUUUCGUCGUUCGUGGACCCACGUGUCACUGUAAAUUAAAUUUUAUACUUUGGUUAUUUGUAUUACAGUAUGUAUGAA